AGCCUCUAGGGCUAUUGAAAAAGCAACUUUCUCACUUCCGCAUGGGUGCUGAUCAAAAGCAUGUAGACUGGAACUAUAAUUUAUCAAUAACAACCCUGGGCUGAUCUUGGUGUUUCCAAGAGACUGUGGGCAGACUAAGUACAAAAUAUAACAUUUCAUAAUAAUGUGAUCAGUUGCUUUGGUUGCUUCGUUGAAGGAGGACAGGGGGGCGACGCAAGAGAGAGGCCUGAUAAUGUGUGUGCCGAAUGUACAUUCUUGAAAAGAUACUUCCCUGAAGAUAUAAGAAGAGUGGAAGUCGAUUAGGAUUACAACAAGUUCGCAAGUCAACAUGAUCAUCGCGUUUAUCACAGUAGGUAUUAUGAUCCUACUCAUCUGUUGGCUCUUCCAACUCAAGUCUUCACAGUACUUGGUCUCCGGGGGCGAGCCUGGACAGCAGCAACAACAGCAACAGCAACAGCAACAGCGGUGGCAGUCUCCUGCACCAAGAACCAGGAUUUUCAUCCUAUCUUCGCCAACUCGAGCCAAGUGCCCCUACCAAAAUAUAAACUCUGUCUCCCCCAUCCGUCAAACCGGCAAUCAGAUUUCGAUUACUACAGCACCCUGUCCAUUGCCACAAAAGCCGAUGCCAUCUCCAACGCCUGCUAUAAAAAUUUACGCCCCACCACCUUCCUACAGCGAGGUAGUCGUCGUUGGGAAGUCUGAGUCACAAAUAUCGACUUCAGUUUAAUGUCGAGAACAGCAAAGAUGGUACACUACAGUACAAGAUGGUUCACUCUUCUCUUUGAGUUGGAGCCUAUUAAAAAAAGCUUCCGCAAAAUUCAAUGGAGCCGUCUUCGAAAAAGUGUGGACUUUUCGAAUAGAGUUACCCUACUUGUAUGAAACAAAUCAAAGUGAAAUUGUGAUUAUUUUGUUGUAAUACAUUAGAAUUCAAAUUUCCAAAGAACGCCUGGUUACGCUGAUAAAAAGGUUCUUUUCAGAAGGAAGAAACGACUGCCUUCGUCGUUUAAUUUGGCUUUAGAAUUGGAGGCGAGACGUCAUUGAUUUUUUUUUUUUUUUAAACACCAAACUCCGCAUUGUUUGAACCCGAACAGCUGAUUUUAGAAUGAUGAGCAGCAGUCGAUCCGCAUGUGCAAGGAGGCAAUAUUUCUCUUCUCCUUCUGGAGAAACGAAAGAGCGUCCAAACAGUGACUGCAGCACCUUCUGAGCUGACUUCUCGGACACUUGUGUUUUGUUUUUUGCUUGCUGAGUGAACCAUCUUGUAGUGUACGAUCUUUGAGAACUGUGCUUGUCAACCUUUUUAUAGCCAGCACCCACUUUUGCCGUAUUUAAAAUUAAAUUUUCGUACCGUCCACUUGCAUGUAUUUCUAAGCAUACUAUAAUUUUUUUUAAUAGUUCCUGUCACUAUCCGGGUGAUCCCCACUCCCCACUGCACACCAAAAUUACUAAAUCGCUCACUUGCGGAUGGUAUCGCUCAUGUUGCCACGCACUGGUUUAGUAUAACUCUCGGUGUCCUCUGAAUUGCCAGCAUUAUCCAAAUAUUAUCAGAAAACAACAAGCCUUUCA
rnacentral:lncRNA from 1 species